UCCUACGGGAGGCAGCAGUGGGGAAUUUUCCGCAAUGGGCGAAAGCCUGACGGAGCAAUACAGCGUGAGGGAAGACUGCCUAUGGGUUGUAAACCUCUUUUUUCAGGGAGGAAUAAAUGACGUGUACCUGAAGAAUAAGCAUCGGCUAACUCCGUGCCAGCAGCCGCGGUAAGACGGAGGAUGCAAGUGUUAUCCGGAAUCACUGGGCGUAAAGCGUCUGUAGGUGGUUUAAUAAGUCAACUGUUAAAUCUUGAGGCUCAACUUCAAAAUCGCAGUCGAAACUAUUAGACUAGAGUAUAGUAGAGGUAAAGGGAAUUUCCAGUGGAGCGGUGAAAUGCGUAGAUAUUGGAAAGAACACCGAUGGCGAAAGCACUUUACUGGGCUAUUACUAACACUCAGAGACGAAAGCUAGGGUAGCAAAUGGGAUUAGAUACCCCAGUAGUCCUAGCCGUAAACUAUGGAUACUAGAUGUUGAACAGAUCGACCUGUGCAGUAUCAAAGCUAACGCGUUAAGUAUCCCGCCUGGGAAGUAUGCUCGCAAGAGUGAAACUCAAAUGAAUUGACGG
rnacentral:rRNA from 1 species